GAUGAACGCUGGCGGCGUGCUUAACACAUGCAAGUCGAACGGAGCACCCUUGAAGGAGUUUUCGGACAACAGAUAGGACUGCUUAGUGGCGGACGGGUGAGUAACGCGUGAGGAACCUGCCUUGGAGAGGGGAAUAACACAUGGAAACGUGUGCUAAUACCGCAUGACAUACAUUUAUCGCAUGGUAGAUGUAUAAACGAUUUAUCGCUCUGAGAUGGCCUCGCGUCUGAUUAGCUAGUUGGUGGGGUAACGGCCCACCAAGGCAACGAUCAGUAGCCGACCUGAGAGGGUGACCGGCCACAUUGGGACUGAGACACGGCCCAGACUCCUACGGGAGGCAGCAGUGAGGAAUAUUGGUCAAUGGGCGAGAGCCUGAACCAGCCAAGUAGCGUGAAGGAUGACUGCCCUAUGGGUUGUAAACUUCUUUUGUAUGGGAAUAAAUGACAUUACGUGUAGUGUUUUGUAUGUACCCUAUGAAUAAGCAUCGGCUAACUCCGUGCCAGCCGCCGCAGUAAAAC
rnacentral:rRNA from 1 species